rnacentral:lncRNA from 1 species
UCUGAGUAAAUUUAUUUGUAUGCUCAUUUAUAUCUAUUUAUUUAUAUUAUUAUGCUAUGUUAUAAACAUGCUGCUGUCUUUCAUAUAUUUUAUAUGUUGUAGCUGUUGAAUGACUUCCUUCCAAUAUUAAAAGACCAAUUAGAAGGUCACUUCUUGAUUUGAGUAAUAAGAAUUGAUUUGAAUUCCUUCCAAUUAGAUGGUCACUUCUUGACUUGAAUAAUAAAAAAUAUUGUUAGACAUGUAAGUUAUUUUUGAAAAAUAAGUUCCAAACUGAAUUAAUUAUAGUGUAUUUUCAGACAUGUUUAAAAUAAUUCAAAUUUUUCCACAAGGUUUUUCUAAUCUCUUUCUGAUAGACUUAAUGUUUAAAAAGCUGAGAGUUUUAUUUUAAAUAAGGUUUUUGUGAGUUGACCUCUGUUGAUCCAUUUUAUUAUUUAUUAUAAAUAGUUUAGAAUAUGAUUAUUUAAGGCAUAAAACUUUGAGGUGCAAAAUCAUUAACAUUCUGAAAACUGUACUGACUUACCUAGAAUGUUUUUGUGAAAUGCUUAAUUAUUUAAUGAUUCUUAUAUUAAGUUGUAUGAAAUACUUUAUCAAAACAGAAUUUCUACUCCUGAAAUAACUUCCAAAGUCAGGGAGUGAAAUAAGGGAAAAUCAGGCAAAAUUUGAAUCCUCCUAAAAUUGGAGGCAGAACAUACAGAUCAUUCUUCCAGAUAAUGAAGAGUUCAUGUUUUAAAUAGUUAUCAUUAAAACAUAAGUUAACCCUUUUAAAAAGAAAGCAAGUGAGAAAAAAUAUUGUUUGUAGAGUAGCGUAUAAUGAAAUAGCUGGAGGAGGUAGAAGCAGAUGUACCUAAUAUUGUAAUUAAUAAAAAGGCAUCAUUCCUUAAAACUUCAUGACAGUGGUACAUAAUUUAUUUUGAAAAAAAAAAAAAAACUUGUUGUACUUGUAAGAAAAUAAAAAAUGAAAAAGUAGAAAUAUUAUUAAAAAAAGUAUGUGGAAAUUUCUAAAAAUGCUUUUAGAAAAAUGGGGUAUCAAGACAAAAAUUAUCAUAAUGAAAAGAAAAACUGACAUUAUAUGACUAUCCUGAAAUUGAAUUAACUUUUCUUGCUAGCACAAACUUCUCAAAUUUUGGGGAAAAUGCAGAAUCACCCACUGCUUGGUGUGUUUUUAAGAAUUGCAUGUAAUCGUUAUCUAUGUACACAUUGACCUAUUUUCACUUAAAAAGUCAAAGGAAAUUGACAAAAAACCAAUUCUUACUCUUGUAAAAAGCGGCAAACAAAUAAGUGGGCUAUUCUGCACUUUACCCAAAAUUUUUUCCUAGAAUAAAUACAGUGAAACCUUGGAUCAUGAACAGAUUGAGCUCAUGAAUUUUGCAUGGCUCAAAUUUUGCAAAUGAAAAAUGUCUUGGAUGGCAAGUGAUAUCUCGAGAUAUGUAUAUUGGCAACAAAUGAUAUUCCAAAACAUAGUUAGUGCAGUAGUCUUGAGAAGAAGGCAGAGAGGAGAAUGUUUUAGUUAUUUGUUCUGCAAAAUUUGUGCAAAAUGGUGUAAGAUGCAAAGGCUCAUAGGAGAUUAUCACCCUGAUAAAGUAGUAGUAAGUCGUAGCAUAAAUGUUUGCAAUGACAAUGCCAUGCCUUACAUUUUAAAAUGUAGAUGGAAACAAAUCACAUUGAACCAAUUUGUAAUAGGAAAACGGCCCAUUAAUGCUCAAGUAGAAAAUUGUGUUAAGAGAAGAGAGGGGGGGAGAAAACUUUUGAAGGGCAGCAGCUAUCUGAUAUUUUUGCAGAAAAAGGUACCCUUUCUAACAUUUUGCGCUUUGGCUUCUUCAUUGUUUCUUACUUAACUGUCAACUUUCGUUUGUAGAGAUAUGGUAAAAUUUAAUGCAAGUUUGCCUGUUUUUUUUUUUUAAAUAUGUUAAACAUUGUGUAAAUGCUAGAGUUAAUGAAUUUCAUUAGUUUCACAUAACAAACUUGCAUUCAAAGUUUUCUUUUCUAAGGAAGCAUUAGGCUUUUGGUGCCAGACUAAUUCAUUAUACAUUAAUUCCUGCAUGAAAAUUGUUUCAGUUUAUGAAUAUUUUGGGUGACAAACUAUCUCCAGGAACAAAUUAAGUUCGAAAAUGAAGAUUUCAGUGCAACACAAGUCAGAGGUUACUAUAUUGUGUUAUUGUAUGUCAUAAUAAAUAACCACAAUAAUUACAUGAUUAAAUACAUUUUCAAACUAGUUAAUUUCUUUAUUAUUCAGUUUUAUUUUGAAAUACCUUAGGAAUAGUUUUUAUUAUGAAUUAUUCAUUAAUUUUGUUUGCUGAUUGAAGAAUUUUUUAGCAUGUUCCUAACCGAUUGUCUGUUCCUCAAACAGACCAACUCAUAUGCGGAAUGGUGUUAAAGGCGUGAUCCCUUUGUAAUUUUGUGGAUAAUUCCAUAGAAACAUCAUUAAGUAGUGGUUUGUAAGAAGCUGUGACAUGUGGUCUCAAGUUCUGACUUUCUAUUAAAGUAAUAUCAAAGAUAUAAUUGUGGAUUGAAAUAACCCUAAAUUCUUAUUAGAAUUAGUUUUAGGUAUUACUAGACUAAAGUAUAGUUUUGGUCUGUGGAAAGCACAUGCCCAUUUAUAUAUCUGUAGGAACGUGUUAAACCCUAUUUAGUUUUCUUACUAUGAGUAAGAUAAUUAGACUUUUAUAUUGUUCUUAACUCAUUUCAUUAUUUUUUUGCAUAGAAUUAUUCUUUUGGUUAACUUAGUUCACCAUUGUUUUUCUAAAAAGAUGAUUUAAUUUGAUUUUGAAAAGUCAGAAUUAAAAGUCGAAUUCAUUGGAAACCCUGCAAAAUGACAAAAGGAAUAUAAUCCCCGUUCUUUUAUUUAAAAUGAUUGGAAAUAAAGCAAUACAGAAAAAUCUGCAAAUGCUUAGAGAUUUCGUGAAAUUUUUAAUUUCAUCGUAAAGUUUGCUGUUGGUGAUCAAGCUCAUUGGAAAGUUCAUCAUUGGUAGUUUAUCAGUUAUUGGCGAUCCAAAACUCCAUAUUUAGUUUUUUUUGGGGGGGAUUAACUAUAAAUAUUAGCAGCUAAUAUUUUGACUGUUAUGCAGAUUAGAUGAGUAGAUUCAUAUACAGUACAAAGUCUGUAAUCCGCACGUCCAUUAUCUGGAAUGAUCUAUAAUCUGGACCUCAAAGCCACAAACUUUAAGCAUUCGCAUAGAGAAUGCGCAUACAUUACGCAUAUUAAAUAUAUUUUAGUAAGCUAAUUUCCUGAUGUAAGCUAUUUCAUUGCUCUUGUAGAAGCACCAAUGUAACAUAGACCUAAUUUACCAAGUAAAAUUGCAUUUGCUAUAAAAAAUAAGAUUAUUAAAGGACGGCUGCAGAAAGAUUUAGAAAGCUUCUGAAGCAGAUUAACUUUUUAUUUUGAAAGGUAUAUAUUCUAAGUAUUUCACAAUAUUUUAUUACUGAUAGACAUGUUAGCAACAAACUGAAUAUUCUAAUUGCGAAUAUUUGUCUUAAAAAAAUUAUGAUUUCUUACUUCUUACUUCUUCUACUUUGUGAAGCUUGGCUUCCCUUCGGUGCCUUGUGCUCCUAUGCAUGCACAACGAACUUUCUUUUUUUUUUUUUAUUUAAUUAUGGACGCAUUUCCUCCACUCCAGAGAGCAUGUCAGUCCUGUAAAAGUAUUUAAGAGUUCUGAAUGCAUUUGGUGAUAAAGUUCCCUAAAAUUUGGUAUCGCCAGGGAUUCUUAUUGCAGUAGGCAAUCAAAUCGGCCAUUAGGUUUAUAUUCCCCAGUUUCAUUUUCCGUAACAUUUUACCUCUGGCUUCCUCAUAUUUCUUACAAUGAAUAAUUACAUGUUCCGUGCUGUCGAUCAGUCACUUAUCACAAUAAGGAGAGUCGGAUCUUCGAUAUCUGUAUCGGAGUUGUUUCGUAUUUAGCAUCUGCAGUCUUGCUUUACUAAUUGUGACUUCCAUUGUUCUACUAAUGUUUAGUCCUUUGCUCCACUCUUUAUAAACAUUACAGUAGCUGAACCUGUGCCCUAUAUAGGAGGUAAGCCAGCUAUUGACAUAUUCAGCAUUGAUGGCCCUAGUGAGGAAGCUACUUGCAUCUUCUGCUGAGAGAUUGUUUACCUUUUGGGCAAUUUCCCCACUUUCUAGCUUAUCAGCAUAUUCGUUCAGUCAUAUUCUACUCCUCUAUGGCCUGGAACCCAGACAAUAUCAAGAGAGUGAAAAGCUUUCAUCAAACCAUACAACUUUAGGAUGAGAGAAUUUGACUUCCUAUGAACACUGUCAAUAGCUUUAGCUACUGACAUGCUAUCUAUGAGGAUAAUGACUUUAUCGCUUGUAUUCAGUUUAUCCAAAAGCUUCCAGAGAGCCCAGGCCUCGGCAGAAAAAAUAGAGCUCCUGGUAUUGAUACGCUAAUUAAAAAUCGCAGCAUCUCUGCCUACUACUGCAUUUCCAACUCCAGCAUUGGACUUGGAAGCAUCUGUUUCAAAAACUUUGUAUGCUUUCUUAAUAUAAUCAUCUAUUACAAGGCUUAAACACUGUUGCAUCUCCCUGUCUGGAAUAUGCUUUCUUUGAAACUCAUACUCGUUUGUUUUUAUUCUGAAAUUAACUUCUUCAGAAAAGUCUUGCUCAUUCAUGAAACUGAUAAUAUUGUUAGUAUCCAAGUCAGAUUUGAUGAGCUCAUCUUUGAUAUUCUGGCUGAGGGGCUUCCGCAAUCUGCCUCACUUAUAUUUGCAACUUUGUAGGCACGUUUGCAAAUUAGUCAUAGUCGGAGAUAUUUUGAAGAGAGCAAUAUUUUUAAUUGGGAAUUUUGUAGCAGCUAUCCGCAUCCUAAUUUGUAGUGUGAAUUCACCCGCUUCGAGGUAAAGGGGUGCUGAUUGGUUCCCCCAUGGCAAGUCUUAAAGCAUGAUUAUAGAGUGUGCUUAGUUUUUUUUUUUAUAUUCGUUUGCAAAGUAGACAUGAGAAGGGAGCUAUCGUAUUCAAUCCUUCCUCUUAUGGUAGCAUUUGCGAUUCUGAUUGGAUCAGUUUUCCUCAUUUCCCACUUUGGGUUGGCGACAAACUUAAACGCGUUUAACAUCCUUUCCAAUUUUGGGAUGAUUUUAUUUAUUGUAUAGUAUUCCAGCUCAACUUAUCAAACCACAAUCCUAAAAUUUUGAGCUCGUUUACCAUUGGGAUACUGAUACCAUUUAGCUUCAAAAUACCCGUUUCUCUACCUUUCUUUCCUCUGAAGAAGAUAGAUUUGCUUUUCUCUGGCGACAUACAAAAAUUCCAUUCAUUCUUCUUGCUUCUGCUAUGGGGAUGGGGUAGUCUGCGCUAUAGUUGAGAAUUUUGCUCUCUCCUUUAUACUUCGGGCAAUCCUUUGAGGUAGCUUUGUGUUUAUUAUUGCAUAAACCACACUUUAUUAACUGGCUUUGACAUUGCUCUCUUUUGUGGUUGUCACCACAUCUAUUACAUUUAAUUUCGACUUUUUAUUGAAUGUCCGAAUUUCAGACGCUGUGAGCACUGUCUCAGAUUACCAUAAAACCUUGUUACUCUGCCUGGUCAACCGUACUUUUAUGAGUUCUGGGAUGUUGUGUCUGAUAACUGUGACUGGUACCUUCUCGGAGAGCCUUCUGUUUUUAUCAGACCCUUUUAUCAUAAAUCUUCUUAAGCUAAUUACAUCUAUAUCAUUAUUACAGCUCAGAUAAUUCAACAUCUUCCGGUAUAUCAGGCAGAAGAAAUUUACUUGUUAAAUCAUUCACUGUUGUAUGAUUUAACAAGACCUUGUUUGUUGUAGAGGCUUUGAUAUUCAAUAUCUCUGACAAACUUUGUACUUGCCAAGCACAUUCAGCUGAUGCCAUGCAAAUUAAAAGUCUGCCAUCUCUUAUGCACUUAAUAAAAUCAAUAUGUUUCACCAACAAUACUUUUUUUUCGAUUUCAUCUUUUAAGUUUUUUGGGUUAUUCACAUUCAAUUUUUUUUCUUUACCACUUAUAAAAAUUACAUAAUUUUUAAUGCCGAUUUCAUGGCAUGUUUUUAGAAAUAAUUCUGGCGGCCAGGGAGGACUGAACAAUUGCUCUGGCCCUUGCCCGGUUUCACUGUUCCAAUCCAUUUUGAAUGCAUUACAGUUACCAUAUAGAUAAGAUUUCCAGAUAGCUCUUUCUGAAUUUUAUUUACAGAAAUUAAACUGCACAAUAAAUGAAUAAAUGUAACCUUACUUAAUAGACUCCGAAAAGGAGUACAUCACGCUUCCAAGCACUUCCCACAUACGCUACUUCUUACUUAUACUCCGAAAAUAUCGUAUGGAUUUUUUUUUUCACUAAGAUUAUGAUUUCUCAUUUUUCAGGCUUAGCUGCAUAAUACUGUAUUAUUAUAAAAAAUAAAUUUUCCUCAUUCUUGUUGCAUAGAAAAACAAUAUUUUAUUUAUAAACAUGGUCUUUGAUUUACUUAAUUAUAAUAAUAUAUAUAUCUAUAUUUUAAUCGUAAUAAAUAAAAUGUUUAAGUUGAAGAAUAAAGUGUCAGUGUUCUAAAUAGUUGUAGAAAUAGAUAAUGAGCUUAAAGUAGAAAGGAAUCUCAUAUUUUUUCAGUGAGCAUUUACAAUUUAUAUAUAUAUUCCCCUGUGUGGCAUGACUGCCUCUAUCUGGUCAUGAGUUUUUUUGUCUGUAGGUAUAUAUGAGUUUAUAAUUUAAAAAUAUUUUGCUUUCUUACUUUUUUUCAUAAUUUAAAUAUCUUAAUGAAUAAAAGUUUAUGAAAACAGACAGUAAAAUAAGUAAUUAUAUAAAUUAUUAAAUAGGGUUACAAUACAGUCCUUCAUAAUUAGAUUAAAAAAAUCCUGCCACUCAGAGGGUUAAAAGAUCUGAGGUGCUCUUCCAUUUUUAAUGCAAAUGAAAAAUUUUGUAAAUAAAAUUUUGCAUGAAAACUAUUUUAGUGAAACAUGAAUGAGUAAUGUGUUAAAAUUCUUUUAUAAAACAAUUAGUAUAGUAUGAAACAAACUUGUUUUAAGGCUGUUUUUUAAUUGUCAACUUUAAUAAAAAAGCUAUAAAAUUUUUGCAAUUUUUAUAGUUAUUGCAUUUUAUAUGUUUUUUGAUAAUCAUUUUUAACUUUUGGCAAACAACUAAAAUUUUCUUACUAUCCAAAAUUUCUUGGCAUAUGAAUAAAAUUAUGUUCCUUAUAGGUUCAUUGAUUAAGAACAAAUGUAUUAACGGUAUACUGUAGAGAAACAAACUUUCUUAAAUAAAUUUACUAAUGAGAAAACAGGAGUAAAACAAAUGAUAACGAGUUUCUUUUUUGGAAAAAAAAAUAAUGUUUAUUUUUUAUUCCAAACUGUUUUUUACUGCUACUGCUUGAGCAAAAAUAAAAUUGCAGCGUGAAGAGUGUCCCGAAAGGUGUUUCAGUAUUGCAAAUGAGGUCUCCAUCACCCUUUUUCCAGAAAAAGCGUUAUCCCUCAUAGUCUUUCAGAUAUGCAGGACAUCUCACUCUUCGACCGGUUCUUGUGUUUCUAGGGUCAGUGUCUUUAAAAGGAUCAUUGCUACUAGGAAGGGGUUGGUUGUAAGAUUUAGGGGUUAUCGGCUUAUCAUGUCUGAAGACUUGCUGUUACUUCAUUUUUGAGUUUGAAACAUGGUUUCAAGCUAUCUAUUAAUAUUCUCUGAGAAACUAUCACAAAAUUUUUCAGAAUGUUUCUUAAUUAAAUUAGUUCGAAGAUAUGUCGUUUGAAGAGAGGAUGAAAUUAUGUUUAAAGAUUAAUACAUGUGAACAAUUUGCUAAGUCCUAGUUUAUAAAAGCUGUUUUUUUUUUUUUUUUUUUUUUCCUAUGGCUGAUUGUUGGAAUUGGUUUUAAAUUUUGGAUGUGUCUUUGCAAGUUUUGUAUAAAAUCUGAAUGCUUAGCAGUUCAGAAUUUACUGAAGAAUUCUGCAGGCAGACAGAUUGGUGUGCUGUACACAAGUUUAGCAGAACAACAAAAUAGAUCUUCUUUAAUAGUGGAUUGAAUGCCAAGAAGAAAUAAAGGUAGAACAUCAGUCCAAGAAUUUUGAUAUUUGAAGGUGGGAUUUCAGGCUGUGUUUCAGAGUUCGAUGUUGGCGUUCGAUUAAACCAUUAGAUUGUAGGUUAUAAGCUGUGGUUGUGUUGGCUUUGAAACCUAGGUAUUUGUUCAAGGAUUUGAAGAGUUGGCUUCAAAGUGUCGACCUUGGUUAGGUGUAUUUUUUUGGGAUUCCAUGUAUGGGAAUCCAAGUCCCGACAAGAGCAUUUGCGAUGGAGUUUUCAGUUUAGUCUCCCAAAGGAGCAUCUUUGAUCCACCAAAUGAAUCUCUCGAUGAUAAAAAGCAGAUAACAGAAAUCUUUGCAAGAUGGUAAAUUGCCAACAAUAUCAAUCUUAAGGUGCUUGAAGCAUUCAUUUGGAACUUUGGAUUCACUAGAUGGAGCAUGGGUAUGUUUUGAACUUUGGGUCUUUGGCAUGCUUUAAUCCACAGCUAACAGUUUUUGUUUAUGCCAAGCCAAAUGAAAUGUUUUUUGUUGCCAGCUUCUUUGUUACACGAAUUCCCGGCUGGGAUAAGUAAUGUAUAGAAAAAAAUAUUCUUUUUUGGAAUUUUUUAGGAAUGUAUGGCCAGUUAAAAUUGGUGGAGGUAUCACAGUAAAUUUUCUUUUUUCUAUCUGGGAUAGAAAUUUGUUCUGUUUUGAAACUGGAAUUUGAUUAAAGAAUAUUCAGGUGUCCAUCCUCCUGGCAAUCUUAAAUAAUCCUCAAUAGUGUGUCUGCUACCAUGUUUUCUACUCCAGAAAUGUACCGUAUGUCUAUAGUGAAUUAAGCAAUGUAGUUCAGUUGCCCGACUUGUCUUGAAAAGGCUUUAUCUAAAUUCUGCUGGAAGGCAGAUGUGAUAGGUUUAUGCUCAGUGAAGAUAGUAAAAGAUCGUCCUUCUAGAAUGUGUUUUAAAUGCGUUAUAGCUAGGUAGAUUGCAAGUAAUUCUCGGUCCUAAGUUCUAUAGUUUCUCUCCAUUGAUGAUAGGGAUUGAAAGAAAAAGAUUAGCUGUUGUUUUUCACCAUUAUAUGAUUGAUGGAUCACAUCGCCACUGGCAGAACCAGAUGGAUCUGUUGUUAGGGUGAUGUCAUUGUUAUAUAAAGUACCAUUAGUUGUCGAUUAGGUGGUAGCAUCAAUUAAUUUCGUAUUUUUACUGUUGACUAAUAAGUUAAAAUGUGAAAGGAAGUCUAUUCCAACAAUAGGUUUAUUGAUAUGUACAAUUAUAUAAGGCCAGCUGAAAGAUCAGCAUAGCAACAAAUCCAGCUUUAACAGUUAUUGACCAUGUGCUUGAUUAUUGACCAUUAGCUGGAAACAGCCCAAGCUUACAGUUCUUUUUUUCCAAUGGCAGUGGUAGGACAACUGAUAUUUCUACUCCAGUGUCGAUAAAAAUGUGUUUUGUGUUGUAUCAUAUAUAUAUAAACAACUCAGCUCGACCUCCGAGACUUUCGAUUGUCAUCGAAAGCUGGGAGGUCAGUCUUUCUAUUUCAAACCCUGAUAUUUGCAUGAUGGUGUGUGCUUGUAAGUUCUUUUGCCAAAGCUUUGGUGAAAAUAACUAUUAUUUGGGCCACUGUUAUUUAUGCAACCAUUUCUUGAUUUCAGUCUUUAUCUUCAUCUUUGUGGACUGGAAUUUCUAUGUCUAUGCAUUUCUGCUAUUUGCAGUGCCAAGUUUCUUGUAAAUCUUGUGCAAUAUUGUUAUCAGAUUGUGGAGAAACAAUGUGAGCUACCCAAGUUGGAUUGGGAUUUGAUUCCCAUAUCUUGUCAGCCAUUGCUGAUAAUUUGGACAAAUCAUCACUGCUUACUGACAAAAUGCAGCACAUAUUAAGUGGUAGUUUAUUUGUCUGGCACCUGCUCUGUUGCCAAGUUGCAUACUUUGCAAAGAAGUUGGGAUAAUUUCCUGUCACCUAAUACCAAUUCAGUCAGAAGUUUCUGAAUUUUCUGUGAUUCUGAAUUGACAAAAUUUUCAGGAAGUCUCUUUUUAAUGGCCAGAUAUUUGUCAUCAUGUAGUGGUGUGCCAAGGAUAUCACGAACUUGUGACAAUGUCCCUGUUUGUAUUGAACCGACUGCAUAGUCAUAUUUUGUUUCACCAAUUGUCAUUCCAGUGUUGUAGAACUGUGCUCAGAUCUGAAAAAGCCAUAUUUUUGGGUCAGAUUUCCAAAAUUGAAAAAAUUUUUGACUUACCCUGGCAAUUGUUAAUUUUUCCAAUGCUGUAUCACCAUUCUUGUGUGCAGACAUUUACUUGCAAUCAAUCAAUCACGAACAUGGUCACCAAAUUAUACGUUCAUUGUUUAAGGACAAAUGUACUGGCAAUAUACUGUAGAGGGACAGAGUUUUUUAUAUAAAUUUAUUAAAAAGGGAACAGGAGUAAAACAGAUGAUAAUGAGUUUAUUUUUUUUAAACAAAUUCUAAUGUUUAUUUUUUUAUUCCAAACUCUUUUUUACUGUCACCACUUGAACAAAAAGAAAAUCGCAACGCGAAGAGUUUGAUGAAAGGCAUUUUAGUAUUGCAAACAAUGCCACCACAUACCUUAUCAUAAUUUUGUAUCCAAUUGAAAAUCUGAAUAUGUUAGGAUAUUUGUAUUUUUAAUGUAAUCAUUUUGCAAUUUUUAUCUUGAAUUUUUUCAGAAAAAUUUCACUUAAUGUAAUUAAUUAUUCAGUCAAUCGGUGCAUGUUAAAUAAUGCAAUAAAUAAUAAAAUAAUUCUAACUUGUCUAUUUGUUAGUGUAAAUAUGUAAAGAGUUGUAUUAGAGGAUAAAAUCAAACAAGGUGCAUAAUUUGCUUAAAUUUAUAUUUCAUUAAAAGAUUAAAUCUUGAUAUGUGAAUAAUGCUUAGCUUUUAUGAUUUUAUCAUGCAGUUCAGGUGGGAUGACAGUAGUUGCUUUACCAAGAUUUCAGUAGAAUUCAAAAUUUUAUUCUGUAUCCUGUUAACCAUAAAAUAAAAUUAUUUUAGAAUUAUUUUAGCUUCUAUAUUAUUCAAAACUAGCUCAGGUUUCUUAUGGUUAUUUAGUCUGUGAUCUAGCUUCAGGUUUGAAACUGGAUUCACUAAAAAUGAUUUUAAAUAAUAAUUUUUUCCCCUUAUUGAGUGUAACUUUGCUGCUUCUUUAACACAUUUCUAUGAUUGUAAUGACCCAUAUUUUUAUUUCAAUAACUGCAAGUAAAGGAUUUGUACUAUUUAUUAAAAUCUGGUAUAAUAUUUAAUGAUUCUUAAUUAAUCCCUAAAAUUAAACUUUCAAAUGAGCAGUGUUUUAACAUCUGAUUGAAAAGUCCCAAUCAUAAGUCAUAAAUGUUAAAGUCUACAGAGUGUCUCUUCAAAUGAUUUUUUAACCUAGUUUUACAAUGUGUAGUUUAAAAUUUAUCACUGCAGAUUAGUAGGAACAAAUUUUGUGUACUAUGAAAAAAAAAAAAAAAAAAACUAUAUUAAGUGAUUAGAAAUACUGUUUCAUUCAUUUGUGCAAAGUGCAUGUAUCAGAUUUAUGUUGAGAUUUUUCAAGUCAUUCUUGCAGGUGUAGUAAUUAUUAUUUAGUAAUAUGUGUUUUAUCUGUUCAUAUCCUUUUAUUAUUAGGCAGGGUGUGAAUAUUUUUCUUUGCCUUUUUAAUACUUUGUGCUGAAAAUAUUUUAAUAACAUCUUUGAAAAUUUCUGUAUUUUUAAAUGAAAUAAUGUUAUUAUUUGUCUUGUGUUAUAUUAACCCCUUAGUAUAUGAAUUAAAUGCAAAAUUAAUAUGCUUAAAAUUUGAAGGGACAAAAUUUUUCAUUGCAAAGGGGGGACCAAAGUAUAUAUUUAUUUAUUCAAGUGUAUAAUUGCACAGUUUAUAGUCAGAAACUAUUUUGAAGUUAAUGCAGUUUCAUGAUGUCUGGCUCACAUCCAAAUCUGCUCUGACGUUAAUAAUAAAUAAUGCAUCUCAAUAAUAAAUAAUGCAUCUCGUUAAUAAUAAAUAAUGCAUCUCAGAUCAUUAUGUGUCAGGGGGUUAAAUUCUAGUCUACUUAAUGAAUGGAUGGAAAUGUGAUAACAUAUUAUGUAUCCUUAAAUAAAAAUAAAAUUAUAAACUAAUUCAUUAGAGUUUAUUUUAUAAUUCACAUUAAGAAUGUGUUUUGUGAUGCAUUGUGCUAUGGUAUUAUUGUUGUAUGUGGAAUUUGCAUCCUCAGCCUGUAAAGAUGGUCAGUUAGAUAAAGUAUGUAGAUGUUUGAAUUGCUCAUACUUCACAGAAAAUAUCUAAGAACAGUUGAAUAAGCAUUUUCUCAUUGUUUCCAGUCCAUUAUCUUUUGUAAUCUGUGAUAAUGUCAUAAAAAAGAUUGUCUUUUUAAGUUUUAUUAUAGUUUAUUAAUAUUUGCUGUGAUUAGAGGUUUUCUGUGAUUUUUUUAUUUUGUUGUAACAAUGGAUUCUGUCUGAGUUAGUUACAAUUAAAAUGCUCAUAAUAUGUUAUUGGGCUGCAAGUAAUCUUUUAAAAAUCAAAAAAUAGUAUAAAAUUAGUUAUUGCAUGCAUCAUAUUUAUUUUCUAGUUUAUGUGCAUGUGUAAUAUGAAUAAGAAGUGCAGUAUUGUAGCAAAUAUAUUUUCAUUAAAAAUUCUUAUAGAUUAUGAUGAAGUUGAUUAGAAACAAGUUUCAUUUAUUUUUUUUCAAUUUAAAUUUGAAUAAAAUUACUAGUGGCUGUGAUAUUUUGUUUUCAAAUCAUUUAAUUCUUAUUGUUGAGAAAUGUAGUGUUAUUUUAAUUAUGCCAUACCUUUUAUGAAUGACUGUAAAUAAAAAUUGUUUGAAGAUUUGUGUUGAAUUUUUUUAAAAUAAUUUUUGGAGGAGUAGAGGUAGACAGUUUGUUAUGUAAUGCAUAAUUUACAAAGUUUUAUUUUUGAAAAUAAGGUUUUUAAUAUUUUAUGUAAAGUGGUUCCCAUUUGUUAUAUUCCUGGAUAAUGAUGUCAUUAUCUUGAAAAUUAUCACAAGAGCAUUAAAUCGUGAAAUAAAUUGUUUUUAGCAAUGUUA